rnacentral:tRNA from 1 species
GGUGGCUCAGUGGUAGAGUACUUGCCUUGCAUGCAUGAGGACCUGGGUUCGAUUCCUCAGCACCA